rnacentral:rRNA from 1 species
GACGAACGCUGGCGGCGUGCCUAAUACAUGCAAGUCGAGCGAAGUUUUUCUGGUGCUUGCACUANAAAAACUUACCGGCGAACGGGUGAGUAACACGUAAAGAACCUGCCUCAUAGACUGGGACAACUAUUGGAAACGAUAGCUAAUACCGGAUAACAGCAUUAACUGCCUGGUUGAUGUUUAAAAGUUGGUUUUGCUAACACUAUGAGAUGGCUUUGCGGUGCAUUAGCUAGUUGGUGGGGUAAAGGCCUACCAAGGCGACNAUGCAUAGCCGACCUGAGAGGGUGAUCGGCCACACUGGGACUGAGACACGGCCCAGACUCCUACGGGAGGCAGCAGUANGAAAUCUUCCGCAAUGGGCGAAAGCCUGACGGAGCACCGCCGCGUGAGUGAANAGGGAUUUCGGUUCGUAAAGCUCUGUUGUUAGGGAAGAAUGAUUGUGUANUAACUAUACACAGNACAUACNGUACCUAACCUCAAAGCUCUCNUUAACUACUUGCCAGCAGCCGC